CGUCGAGAAGAAAAUGCCAACCUACUCCAGUAUUCUUGCCUAGAGUAUUCCAUGGAUAGAGGAGCCUGGUUGACUGCAGCCCAUGGAAAUAUAUGGGAAGAUAUUUUCUUAAACAUAUAAAUCGAAACGGACAUUUCAAGGUUUUUCUGGUCCUCUCUUCCUCAAAUUGAUGAAAAUCACAGAAACUGAGGUUUGACAUCACGUGCCCAAAGUCACACAACUGGUACGCAGCUGACCCAGGACUUGAAAGCAAUCCAGCUCCCAGCCCUCAUAACUACACUCUUAACCACUUGCCUACAAUGCCAAUCUGAGUGUGAAUUGAAGAUUCAACAUUCUAAAAAAAGGAAUGCAAAAUCACACUGAUGAACUCUGCUGACCUGAGCCAAAGAAAGAACACACCGGAAGUUUCAGUCCAAAGAGCAAGACAGAUGGCAGCUGUGGCAGCAACAGUCAAGGACCCACACACCCUCCACCCAUUUAUGUGUAAUUAAUUCUAUGCACAAAGGAUGUGUGACCGUGAUGACAGGGCACAUUGAAUGAUGUGCCUGAAUCCACGUUGGAUUACAUCAGAUUGCUUCUAUGCACACAUGCACUUUAAAAAAGAAAAACUCUUCACGUAAGCAUAUUGCUCCCCAAAGAGGUUAUUUCUCUUGACAUUGUUUAACCAAUGGAUGCAACAGCCUUGACUUGGGUGAAAUGCUGAUCAGAAGACAACAGAUUGACUUAUUCUAAAACUAAGUGAUUAAGCCAUGUAUCCAAAGUGAAAGUCGCUCAGUCAUGUCUGACUCCUUGUGACCGCAUGGACUAUACAGUCCCUGGAAUUCUCCAGGCCAGAAUUCUGGAGUGGUAGCCAUUCCCUUCUCCAGGGAAUCUUCCCAACCCUGGGGUGGAACCCAGGUCUCCUGCAUUGCAGGCGGAUCCUUUACCACCUGAGCCAUCAGGGAAGCCCAAGCCAUCUAUCCAAGUCAAUGACAAAUAGAAGUCUGAAUUCUACUCUUCUGGGUGUCCUUCUCUGUCUAUACUAGCAAGAAGUGACUCUUACCCACCCCCAUCCUACUGCUAAUUAUCUGUGUCCCUCUUUUGGUAUUUAUUGUUACUUUGUAUAUGAUUAGGAAUUUCUUUCUCUCUCUUUUUUUUUUUUUUUUUUUGCCACACUACAAGUCAUGUAGGAUCUUAGUUCCCCAAACAGGGACAGAACCAGUGCCCCUUGCAAUGGAAGCACAGAGGCUUCCCCUGGACCACCAAGGAAGUCCCAGAAAUUUCUGUUUAUAUUUUAAUAACACAGCACCUUAGAUAAAGAUUCAACACAAGCUUGUUGAAUCUGUUAAGUAUUGAGUCUGAUCUCAGAGACAGCUUUAUAGAAAUUAGACCAGUAGGCCAAUUGCUCAAGUCAGUGCUUUGAGAGUUCUAUAACCUUUAUCCACCUCUCAUAGCAGCUUGAGUACUCCAGUAGCGAAUCAUCCCUCUGAGUAAAUCACUGUCUUCUAUGAAAAUAAAUCUAUCUAUAAAUCUAUAAAUCUGUGCUAUCCAUAAUAGCACAAGAAGAUUUUUAAAGUAAAUCACAGAAUUAAUAGGAGAGAGAAUAAGGCAGUAAGAACAAGGGAAAGAUUAGAAUGAAGUGAAGCUUGGUGGUAGGUGGUUUAGUUGCUAAGUCGUAUCUGACUCUUGUGACCCCAUGGACUGUAGCCCACCAGGCUCCUCCAUCCAUGGGAUUUCCCAGUCAAGAAUACUAGAGUCAGUUGCCAUUUCCUUUUCCAGGGGAUUCUUUUCCACUGAACCACAAAGGACGCCCUGAAGUGAAGCUUAGGAGGAUUUGAAUUUUAAUUGCAUCAUUUAUUGACUGAGUCGUUUUGGACAGGUUACUCCACCCUUGAUUUGUGCAUUGUUAAAAUUGAGACAAUAGUAGAAUCCACCUAAGGUUUUUGUAAGAUGUAGACUGGGUAAGACUUGAAAAGUGUUUGGUGUUGAGUAAGUAGUAUUGUUACCCAGAUAGCCUAGUAAAGAUGAUGAAUGGAAUGUCAGGAAUAAAAAUUAAAUACAAGAAUAAAAGUGUCUGAAAAGGACUAGUGAUGGUCAUUGAAAGUAAAUAAUCAUAUGGAAAAUAUAAA